rnacentral:rRNA from 1 species
UACGAAGGGGGCUAGCGUUGCUCGGAAUCACUGGGCGUAAAGCGCACGUAGGCGGGUUCUUAAGUCAGGGGUGAAAUCCUGGAGCUCAACUCCAGAACUGCCUUUGAUACUGGGAAUCUCGAGUCCGGGAGAGGUGAGUGGAACUGCGAGUGUAGAGGUGAAAUUCGUAGAUAUUCGCAAGAACACCAGUGGCGAAGGCAGCUCUCUGGGUCCCUACCGAGCUGGGGUGCGAAAGCAUGGGGAGCGAACAGG